AUUACUUUUUCCGGAUUCGAGCACACACACACACACUUGUGUAGGAAAACUGGGGUACUUCGCUCUGCGUACUCUACUGAAUAACUUGUGUCCUAUGGCGGAUGCAGAGCCCAUGCUGGUCCCUGCCCCUGGGGGGGAGAAAAGGGCCUGCCCUGCCUUGGAGGAUGAGGUGGCCCACAGCACCAAGAGACCCAGAGUCCAGAAGGAUGAGAACAACAGAGGAGGACACUCUCACAAGCCAGCCCAGGAUGAGGCAGAAGAACCAGAGGGGGAGGAGACAGAGCCACUGGAAGAGGAGGAUGGAGAAGGGGCCGGGUUAGGUUCUGGAGAGGCUUUUGCAGAGAUGAUGAAGCAUGGGCUCACAGAGCUGGAUGUGGGGAUUCAGAAAUUUGUCAGUGAACACAAGGGCUUCUCUGGGAUCCUCAAGGAGAGGUACUCUGACUUUGUCGUACAUGAGGUCAACAAAGAAGGCAAGACAGUGCAGUUGGAUGAUCUCUCGGUCCCUGAGGAGGCUGAGGAAGCCAGUGUGGCAGAGCAGCCAGGGUCUGAGGUUUUCACAGAGGAGCAGAAACACCAACUUGAGCAGCUGCAGCUCUUCAAGAAAAAAGAGGGCAACGUGUCCAUAGAGAUGGCGGAUGACACCAAAGAGAAACGGACCCUGGUCCACAAAGCUGUCAAGACCCUGUACCCUGGACUGGAGACCAAGACAGAGGAGCGGGAGGGAAAGAAGUUCAUCGUGGCCUACCACGCAGCCGGGCAGAAAGCACUCGCAGCCCCCAGGAAACACUCCUGGCCUAAGAGCCGUGGGGCCUUCUGCCACUUUGUCCUUUACAAAGAGAACAAGGACACCAUGGAGGCCAUCAACGUGCUGUCCAAGUUCCUCAGGAUGAGGCCUAAUGUGUUCUCUUACAUGGGGACCAAGGACAAGAGAGCCAUCACUGUGCAGGAGAUUGCAGUUCUCAAGGUCACAGCAGAAAGACUGUCUCAACUUAACAAGUGCCUCAAUAACUUCAAGCUGGGAAACUUCUGCUACAAGAAACACCCUCUGAAACUGGGGGAACUACGUGGAAAUCAUUUCACUGUGGUCAUCAGGAACAUCACCGGGACAGAUGACCAGGUCCAGCAGGCCAUGACCUCCCUCAGAGAGACAGGCUUUAUCAACUACUACGGCAUGCAGCGCUUUGGCACCACUGCCGUGCCCACACACCAGGUUGGCAAAGCCAUCCUGCAAGACAACUGGAAUGAAGUGAUAGAUCUGAUCCUGAAGCCUCGCCCUGGAGCGGAGAAAGGUUACCUAGUGAAGUGUCGUGAGGAGUGGGCCCAGUCCCAGGACCCAGAGGCAGCGCUUAAGAAGCUACCUGUGAAACGCUGUGUGGAGGGACAGCUGCUCCGAGGCCUCUCCAUGUACGGCAAGAAGAACAUCAUCACUGCAUUUGCCAUGAUCCCUCGUAACAACCGACUGAUGUACAUCCACAGCUACCAGAGCUUUAUGUGGAACACCAUGGUCAGCAGACGCAUUGAGGCCUUCGGGCUGAAGGCUGUGGAGGGAGACCUCGUGCUCAGAGGAGGCACUGCGUUCGUGCUGUCUGCAGCCGAGGCAGAGACUCACUCUAUUCAGGACGUGGUGAUGCCCCUACCAGGGUUUGAUGUCAUCUACCCCACUCACCACGAUGUGAUUGUGUCCUUUCCUCCUGUUCUGUAACAGUGGGGAAGGGCUACAGGGAGAAGCUGAGUGCAGAUAACCUGGACAUUGACAACAUGAGACACAGGGUGAGGGACUACUCUCUGGCCGGGGCCUACCGACGCAUCCUCAUCAAACCCAGUGAUGUCAGCUGGGAGGUGAUUAACUAUGAUGACCCUCGUAUCUCUCUGGUUCACACUGAUGUGGAGAAACUAGAGGACCAACCUCCUCCGGUCUUCAACAAAGAGGGGAAGUACAGGGCUUUGAGGAUGGAGUUCUCUCUGCCUCCCUCCACCUAUGCCACCAUGGCCAUCAGAGAGGUGCUCAAGAUGGACACCAGCAUCAAGAACCAGACCCAGCUCAACACCAUCUGGCUCAACUAACACAACACGGAACAACAUUUUACUGAGCUGUAUCCAGCGAUGUCGAACGUUGUAGAUAGAAAUGUAAUGAAUAGAGCUGACACGAUUCCCCUAUUCGAUAUGACGAUCAUAUCUUGUCUAUGCGAUACAUUUCUAUCUGAACCUUCUGUAUUGUUACUUUCUCCUCAAUAGGCCCUUGAACUACAUAUAGGCCUAGACUACUGGGCUGUUUUUACAGGCUGCAGAGCAGUCCAUACUGUGUGUGUGAGUAUCUGUAGACUGGGAGUGUUUGGUACUUUGCCAAGCCAAAAGUCAUUCCUCAAGGUGUGUCAUAGUGAUGAUGUAAAUCAUCAUAGCCACCCACACAACCAAGAGCAACAUCUCUGUUGUUAUUUCCUUUUUUUUAUCAGGAGGUUUUAAAGCGUUCCUGCACUGGUGGGGUUCAGAGAGAUUAUUUUGAAAUGAGUGAUGUGCUGCCUAAGCACUUACAGGUGACGUCUGGGAGUUUCUCAGUAACCCAUGGGGGUGUUCUGAGGUAGGGCUGGGACGAUAAACCUAAAAUGAUCGAUACGGCCACUUUUGCAUGCAGCAUUUUGCUGAUACCAUUCACUACCAUAACAGUAGCUAAUAUGGGUGAUGGCUACAACAAACAAGUAGUAAUACUAAACAGUGGUGCACAUUACUGUUCUAAUCGUAGUGUUCUAUGUAUUGUUAUCGUAUCAAUUCAGGCAAUCUAUCACAAUAUCUAUUCUCUGGAACUCUGGUAGAAAGAUUUCCUCUUUAAGGGCCACCUCGACUCUGUCACCCACUUCCCCAAAGACAGAUACAAAGACUUGACGCCCCUGCUACUUCCCACAGGACUACAAUGAACUCUCUGAUUGUACGGAAUUAUCGUUUACUUUUUUUAACUAAAAUGUUUUUUUUGUGUUUUUUUUUUUUUAAACAAGCUCUUCUUUUUUUAAAUUCUUUUUUUUACAGAGAGAGAAUUGAAAUGUUGAGUGAAGACUGUUGAAGGUUUGUUUCAUCAGACAUUUGAGAUACAGCAUUCUGUUCCAGCCUGUGCCACUUUCAGAGUAUCAUGAUGCCUAUAGUAACUAUUCAGCCCAAGAAGAUCAGUCCUAUGAAUUACAGCUCCAUCGUCAAAAAAUGGGAGCAUCUACUGUCAUAAAACUAAUGUUGCUUGACUAAAACACUUUUAUUCAAUAGACAUUGACAUGUAUAGUAGUGUUGUGCUUUGGGGGCACUUAUUUCUGGUUGGUGGCAGUAAAGAUAGAUCUUGGCAAUGAUAGAUCAGUGUUCUGUUUUGGGUUCCAGUCGGCACUGAGACAAUGCCCCGGUUGCUGCUGAUCAUGGCAGGUGCUGUGGAGCUUACCGUCUGGCAGGGUGGCUCUUGCCAGCUGGCAGUAGUUAUUGUAGUGAUUGCCUGCUAUCAGUGCCAUGUCUCCAAUCUGUGUUUGACUGGAUCCAGUCACCAGCCAGUUACCCUGGUAUACUGAGAAGGAUCUCAUGCAGUUUUACUUAAUUUUCUGUUAUGUCAUGCUCUGAAAACAAAUCUCUGUAACGGAGCACUUCAGAUUUGUUUAUAUAUUUGAAUCUGUGUUAGUUUGAUUUUCUUCCAUACCCCCUAGCACAUUAUUUUUUAGCAGGACUGGUGUAACCUUGUGAGUGACCACCAUAUUGUAUUUUUUACAUGGCCUAAGUAAGAUAUUGUACCAAUUCAUAUCACAAGGGAGAGAAGUUUUGACUUUUACUUAAAACAUUUUUUUUUUACCACAACAUCUGCACGUCACACUUUAUUAUUCAAUUUCAUUAACAAAAUUCAAAAUGUCCACGUUCCUUGGUAUGAAAACCAAUCAAAACUGUCCUGUGGUCAGGUGACACAAACAUCUCUAAUAAAUACACAUUAAAUGUGUUCCUCUAAAUCCAAUAUAAAGUUGUAUUGCUCUGCAGUGUGUUUUACAGGUACAGCUAUUUACAUUCCCUCAACUUUGCUUUAAAGUUGUGUUCCCGUCCUUCUGGCAUUGAAGUCCUUACAACUCUGUUGAAAGAGAUCUGGAACUGCUUUGAUUUAAGAGCAGAUGACCCGCUACAAACUCCUAUGUGAUUCUCGAUCCUUAUUGUACAUUAUGUUAUUCUAUGCACACUGCAGUAUGGAUAAGUCUACUUCUAACCGGUGAGAUGAAAUGGGCUAUCUAUAAUUAUCUUUAUUGUCCCAAUUGAGAUAUGUGUAGUGGUCAGGAUAAAAACAACAAAACAAUAUAUAAUUUAAAAAACCAGGACUGAAACUGACAGAUGCAGUGGCUAGCUAAGGUGUCGGCUAUCUUGGUCAACUGUAGAACAUCUACCACUGGUGGACAGUGUGAUGACUGGGAAAGUGAGGAACGGUAUGGCUCUGGUCAGGUGGGUCUGAAGGGACAGACAGAAUGUGGGGUGAGCUGUUGUAACUUUUCAAGGUAUAUGUUCUGUGUUGCACUGUGAUGUUACGCCUUUCAUAGACUCCUGUUAUGUCUGCACCCUAACACAAGGCCAUUGUGUUCUGGAACUGUUGCUUGUAUGAAAUAACUUGUGUAAAUAAUAUGAUUGUGUUAUCACCUCCCACUAUAUAAGGGACAUGGAACCAUUUACUCCUGAGUUCUUCCCUGUGAAAUCAGAUCUCCCUCCCUUGCAGUUGCUUGAUUAAAGUUAUUAUACAAUUGAA